UACGUAGGCAGCAAGCGUUGUUCGGAGUUACUGGGCGUAAAGGGUGUGUAGGCGGUUGUUUAAGUUUGGUGUGAAAUCUCCCGGCUCAACUGGGAGGGUGCGCCGAAUACUGAAUGACUAGAGUGCGGGAGAGGAAAGUGGAAUUCCUGGUGUAGCGGUGAAAUGCGUAGAUAUCAGGAGGAACACCGGUGGUGUAGACGGCUUUCUGGACCGUAACUGACGCUGAGGCAUGAAAGCGUGGGGAGCAAACAGG
rnacentral:rRNA from 1 species